AUUCGCGAAGUACCAUAUGCAGACUUGGUGAGUGAGAGGUCCCGGGAAAUUUAAGUUACGUUACAUAAUUAUCAAAAAGGAACUCUAUUCCUUGGUCUUGUUUUGAACUUGUGAGGACCGUCAUUCAUUUUAUUUUGCUAUUCUUCCAAACAGAGGGAAUUGCCGUCGGAUCCUAACUAGGAUUGAGUAUUGCACAUAGAACAUCUUGUGGAAAUGGAAGCUGAAGAAUCAUCAUCAUUGCUGCUACUCAAAGAAGAGAAGGAGGAUCUAGAGGAGGGUCCAACUGAAAACGAAGAUGACAACUCUUCGUUUGCAGACCCAUUCUUAGAUGUCAAGGCAGAACCGGAAUUUUUUGACUAUGAUGAUUUUGAUGUGAACUGUUCUUCCCAAUCUACUAUUAUGCGUGAAAAGGACAGCUCUCCAAGCUGUGAUGAUGAGAGUGGAAAGAAAAGUACCUGUAUUGGAGAAGAAAAUAGACAUUUGGGUAGAAGCAAGGCAGCAGGGAAGCAAUUAACUUGUGCUGAAUGCCAAAAGACGUUAUCAAGAAUUGACAAGCUGAAAUCCCACAUGAGAACUCAUACGGGAGAGAAACCAUAUACUUGCACUGUAUGUCAAAAAAAUUUUUCCGUUUCAAGUAAUCUCACAAAACACAUGAAAACUCAUACGAGUGAGAAACCAUAUACUUGCUCUGUAUGUCAUAAAAGUUAUUCUUAUUCAAGUGUUCUCAAAUAUCACAUGAGAACUCAUAAGGGAGAGAAAGCAAAUACUUGCUCUGUAUGUCAAAAAAGUUUUUCUGAUUCAAGUGCUCUCAAAUGUCACAUGAGAACUCAUACGGGAGAGAAACCAUUUACUUGCUCUACAUGUCAAAGUAGUUUUUCUCAACCUAGUCAUCUCAAAAGACACAUGAAAACUCAUACAGGAGAGAAACCAUAUACUUGCUCUGUAUGUCAAAGACGUUUUUCUGGUUCAAGUAAUCUCACAAAACACAUGAAAACUCAUACGAGAGAGAAACCAUAUACUUGCUCUGUAUGUCAAGAAAGUUUUUCUCAAUCAAAUGAUCUCAAAACACACAUGAGAACUCAUACAUAAGAGAAACCAAAUACUUGCUCUGUAUGUCAAAAAAGUUUUUUUGAUUCAAGUAAUCUCAGAAAACACAUGAAAACUCAUGCAUGAGAGAAAGCAUUCACUUAAAAAACAAUCUCAACAGACAUGACAAUUCACACUAGACAGAAACUAUAUAUUGCUUAAUCUCUGUCCAAGUCAUUUGUAUUAAAUCCUUUUAUAUAACUGAUGUAAUUUGAAUAUCGUUAAGAGAGAACUUGAGUAACAUUUGUAAGUGAAAUUUCGUUU